CAACUGAAAAAUGAGAUUGAAGGGCACCGUAGAGUGCUAAACAACCAGUUGAGAAGUGUUAGAACAAUGGAUCCUGCAAAGAAAGAAGCGCGCAUUCGCGCUACCAGAGAGCGCAUAGAGGGUUUGGAGGAGAGGCAGGAAGCGCUGCGGGUGGAGCAGCAAGUGCUCUUUAUUCGUCUAGCAUCUCGCUAGAAUAGAAGAGUCCGUAGACUCUUUUUAGUUUUCUAAGGUUGGUUUAAAUUCAAUAAGUGUCUGGAGACUUUUUUCUUUCUUUGUACAACGAAAAAGAAGCCCUCUGUAGGAAGAAUCGUAAAUGCCGGAGGACGCGUUCAACAUGAAUUGUCACUGUGGAAUGAAAUCACCUCUCGAAUCGAGCAAGAAAUGACUAUUUCUUUUCUAAUAGCGACUUAUCACAAAAAUAACCGAUUGAUACUGUCUUCACAAGGUGGUGCUCGUCCCAAAAGCUACCGAAUUGGCCUAUCAUCAGUAUCCAAUCCAGAUCCCCGUAGGAAAGAAGCUAGAUUUCUCUCUAUUUCAUAGAGUUUUGACUCGAAAGCCUUUGCGCAAGGUAAUCUAUUGACAGAGAGAGAUGCUCCUCCUGCUUGAUAGAAGCAUUAGUUAGUAUGUUAGCUAUAGCCUUCACACAGUCGUCUGGAAUAGAUAGAGAAAGAGAUAAGCUGCACCUGAGUGAUCGAUGCAAAAAAGGAGAAAUUGCUUGUUCGGUUCAACCGAAGCCUAAGACUAAGACUGCGUAGGAGUCAACUGAUGAUCCUACUUUUGCUUUUGCUCCUUGGCUCGGACCCACAUUUCAUCGGAAAGAAAGCGAGGUCUUGGCAGUCCAGUGUCAGCUUCUGAAGAUGGUCAACUCAUCAAAGCGGAAGAGAAACCAGUAUCUAUUGAUGGCGAGCCCGGAUAAUUGAAACAAGCAAGAUACCAUCUCUUCUUUAACUGAACUGAACAGAGCAAACCUCAACCGAUGCGGCCAAAGAGCAAGUGGACUGAACUGCUCUCCCUUACUAUGAAUAAAACGGAGAGUAGAACCGAACACUUGAAGCU
rnacentral:lncRNA from 1 species